rnacentral:rRNA from 1 species
GUAGGUGGGGUAACGGCUCACCUAGGCGACGAUCCCUAGCUGGUCUGAGAGGAUGACCAGCCACACUGGAACUGAGACACGGUCCAGACUCCUACGGGAGGCAGCAGUGGGGAAUAUUGCACAAUGGGCGCAAGCCUGAUGCAGCCAUGCCGCGUGUGUGAAGAAGGCCUUCGGGUUGUAAAGCACUUUCAGCGGGGAGGAAGGCGUUAAGGUUAAUAACCUCAUCGAUUGACGUUACCCGCAGAAGAAGCACCGGCUAACUCCGUGCCAGCAGCCGCGGUAAUACGGAGGGUGCAAGCGUUAAUCGGAAUUACUGGGCGUAAAGCGCACGCAGGCGGUCUGUCAAGUCGGAUGUGAAAUCCCCGGGCUCAACCUGGGAACUGCAUUCGAAACUGGCAGGCUAGAGUCUUGUAGAGGGGGGUAGAAUUCCAGGUGUAGCGGUGAAAUGCGUAGAGAUCUGGAGGAAUACCGGUGGCGAAGGCGGCCCCCUGGACAAAGACUGACGCUCAGGUGCGAAAGCGUGGGGAGCAAACAGGAUUAGAUACCCUGGUAGUCCACGCCGUAAACGAUGUCGAUUUGGAGGUUGUGCCCUUGAGGCGUGGCUUCCGGAGCUAACGCGUUAAAUCGACCGCCUGGGGAGUACGGCCGCAAGGUUAAAACUCAAAUGAAUUGACGGGGGCCCGCACAAGCGGUGGAGCAUGUGGUUUAAUUCGAUGCAACGCGAAGAACCUUACCUGGUCUUGACAUCCACAGAACUUUCCAGAGAUGGAUUGGUGCCUUCGGGAACUGUGAGACAGGUGCUGCAUGGCUGUCGUCAGCUCGUGUUGUGAAAUGUUGGGUUAAGUCCCGCAACGAGCGCAACCCUUAUCCUUUGUUGCCAGCGGUCCGGCCGGGAACUCAAAGGAGACUGCCAGUGAUAAACUGGAGGAAGGUGGGGAUGACGUCAAGUCAUCAUGGCCCUUACGACCAGGGCUACACACGUGCUACAAUGGCAUAUACAAAGAGAAGCGACCUCGCGAGAGCAAGCGGACCUCAUAAAGUAUGUCGUAGUCCGGAUUGGAGUCUGCAACUCGACUCCAUGAAGUCGGAAUCGCUAGUAAUCGUAGAUCAGAAUGCUACGGUGAAUACGUUCCCGGGCCUUGUACACACCGCCCGUCACACCAUGGGAGUGGGUUGCAAAAGAAGUAGGUAGCUUAACCUUCGGGAGGGCGCUUACCACUUUGUGAUUCAUGACUGGGGUGAAGUCGUAACAAGGUAACCGUAGGGGAACCUGCGGUUG